rnacentral:rRNA from 1 species
CGGCAGAGUAACUGUUGUCGGCGUGACGGUAUCCAACCAGAAAGCCACGGCUAACUACGUGCCAGCAGCCGCGGUAAUACGUAGGUGGCAAGCGUUAUCCGGAUUUAUUGGGCGUAAAGCGAGCGCAGGCGGUUUUUUAAGUCUGAUGUGAAAGCCCUCGGCUUAACCGAGGAAGUGCAUCGGAAACUGGGAAACUUGAGUGCAGAAGAGGACAGUGGAACUCCAUGUGUAGCGGUGAAAUGCGUAGAUAUAUGGAAGAACACCAGUGGCGAAGGCGGCUGUCUGGUCUGUAACUGACGCUGAGGCUCGAAAGCAUGGGUAGCGAACAGGAUUAGAUACCCUGGUAGUCCAUGCCGUAAACGAUGAAUGCUAGGUGUUGGAGGGUUUCCGCCCUUCAGUGCCGCAGCUAACGCAUUAAGCAUUCCGCCUGGGGAGUACGACCGCAAGGUUGAAACUCAAAGGAAUUGACGGGGGCCCGCACAAGCGGUGGAGCAUGUGGUUUAAUUCGAAGCAACGCGAAGAACCUUACCAGGUCUUGACAUCUUUUGAUCACCUGAGAGAUCAGGUUUCCCCUUCGGGGGCAAAAUGACAGGUGGUGCAUGGUUGUCGUCAGCUCGUGUCGUGAGAUGUUGGGUUAAGUCCCGCAACGAGCGCAACCCUUAUGACUAGUUGCCAGCAUUUAGUUGGGCACUCUAGUAAGACUGCCGGUGACAAACCGGAGGAAGGUGGGGAUGACGUCAAAUCAUCAUGCCCCUU